AUUGAACGCUGACGGCAGGCCUAACACAUGCAAGUCGAACGGCAGCACGGCAGUAGCAAUACUGUGGGUGGCGAGUGGCGGACGGGUGAGGAAUACGUCGGAAUCUGCCCAGUCGUGGGGGAUAACUAGCCGAAAGGUUAGCUAAUACCGCAUACGACCGAGAGGUGAAAGCGGGGGACCGCAAGGCCUCGCGCGAUUGGAUGAGCCGACGUCGGAUUAGCUAGUUGGCGGGGUAAAGGCCCACCAAGGCGACGAUCCGUAGCUGGUCUGAGAGGAUGAUCAGCCACACUGGAACUGAGACACGGUCCAGACUCCUACGGGAGGCAGCAGUGGGGAAUUUUGGACAAUGGGGGGCAACCCUGAUCCAGCCAUGCCGCGUGAGUGAAGAAGGCCU
rnacentral:rRNA from 1 species